ensembl:lncRNA
AUGAUGGGCUGGGUGGUGAUACAUACUGAUGAUUAUCAUCAUCAUGAUGGGGCUGGGUGGUGAUACUGAUGAUUAUCAUCAUCAUGAUGGGGCUGGGUGGUGAUACAUACUGAUGAUUAUCAUCAUCAUGGGGUCUGGGUGGUGAUACAUACUGAUGAUUAUCAUCAUCAUGAUGGGGGCUGGAUGGUGAUACAUACUGAUGAUUAUCAUUAUCAUGAUGGGGGCUGGGUGGUGAUACAUACUGAUGAUUAUCAUUAUCAUGAUGGGGGCUGGGUGGUGAUACAUACUGAUGAUUAUCAUUAUCAUGAUGGGGCUGGGUGGUGAUAUCUGAUUAUUAUCAUCAUGAUGAGGGCUGGGUGGUGAUACAUACUGAUGAUUAUCAUUAUCAUGUUGGGGCUGGGUGGUGAUACAUGCUGAUGAUUAUCAUGAUGGGCUGGAUGGUGAUACAUACUGAUGAUUAUCAUUAUCAUGAUGGGGGCUGGAUGGUGAUACAUACUGAUGAUUAUCAUUAUCAUGAUGGGGGCUGGGUGGUGAUACAUACUGAUGAUUAUCAUUAUCAUGAUGGUUCUGGAUGUUGAUACAUACUAAUGAUCAUGAUUAUCAUGAUGGGGUUAUGAUGAUACAUACUAAAGAUCAUGAUGGGGUUAUGAUGUUGAUACAUACCGAUGAUUUGGAUUAUCAUGAUGGGGUUAUGAUGUUGAUGCAGACUGAUGAUCAUGGUUAUCAUGAUGGAGUUAUGAUGUUCAGGUUAUAAUGUUUGAUACAUACUCAGGAUCAUGGUUAUCAUGAUAGGGUCUGGGGGGGGUGAUAUAUGCUGAUCAUGAUUCUCAUGAUGGGGUUAUGAUGUUUUGGUAAUGAUGUUUGAUACAUACUGAUGAUCAUGAUUCUCAUGAUGGCGUUAUGAUGUUUUGGUAAUGAUGUUUGAUACAUACUGAUGAUCAUGAUUAUCAUGAUGGGGUUAUGAUGUUUGAUACUAAUGAUUAUGAUUAUAAAGAAUGGGGUUGGUUUUUUAUACAUGCUGUUGAUCAUGAUGGGUUUGGAUGUUGAUACAUACUAUUGAUCAUGGUCAUCAUGAUGGGGUUUGGAUGUUGAUACAUACUGUCAUGAAUAUAGUACUUGGCUUAUCAUGUCUUUACAUAUUAUAAUCAUGAUGAGGUUUAGAAGUUGCUAAUUAUGAUGCUGAUAGAUAGUGAUGAUCAUUAUUAUCAUGAUGUUAUUUAUAAUUGCAACAUGAUGAUGAUGAUUAUGAUUAUAACAUGUUUUUAAAGAUAAAGUUGAUCAUGAAGGUAAUCAAUCUGCUGUUGAUUGCACAAACACUCAAACAGUGUUUUUCAACCUGAUGUGGGCUCACGGGAGAGAUUGCUCACUUGAAUGCUAUAGAUAUUUGAUGACACAUUUAAAAAUGUAAUGGUUAAGGCUUUCAUAAAGGUCCUGUAUAUGCUAACUAAUUGCCUAAUGCAGUAGUUUUCUACCUGUGGUACUCCAGGCGGUACGUGAGAUUUUAUUCUAGAGAUAUUGAUACAUUUACAUAAAGAGAAUAAAUAAUCGAGAUCAUUGAAAGUAAAUAUAUUAUAAAUCUUGUCCCAUAAUUAUAGUUUCAUGGCUUGUUAUUAUUAAAAAUAUAGUGCAGCUUUGUACAUUCCAUCAUAUGCUUUCCAUACCAGUGUUUUCCAUUUAUGUUUUCUGUUCAUUUGUGUUUGCAAAAUAAGCACACAUAAGCAGCGUUGCUGAAUUUAUCUUUACAUUGUCACUGGCUGGGGAAUUCUUGCAGUAAUAAUUUUGUGUAGAGGGUGCCCUGGCACUAUUUGCUCAGCCACUGCCUGUGUAUUUAACCAUCCAUCAUUGUUUGUCAUGAGAAGAUCCGCCAUGGAUCCUGAUGACAAUUCAGUGGUACACCUAAUGUCAAAGGUUGGGAACCACUAGCCUAAAGAAUCUUAGCCCCAACCAAACUACCACUAAUCGCUUGUGUGAUGUCUCGAUGUGCACACGUCUUACAAAAUAUAUAUGUGGCAAAACUGUUGAUCCAAACCAAAUGUUCUCCAUCUCCAUGUGCUCGUGUCUACGCGUGUCUCAGGUGUGGGACCAGUCGUCCGUCUGAGCGUCUGCAGCACCAACACCACCACCACCUCCACCACCACCACCACCGUACUCAGCGCAUCCGCCCUACACCCAGCUCUUGAUCUCUGCAAGUGGGGGGGGGAGGCCGAGGGCGGGAGCGCAGUUACCCCCGGCAACAGCACAGACGGCACGAUGAAACACUGCCACACAAUGUUUUAUCUGAGAGGGAGAGAGCGAGUGAGCGAGAGACACCCACAGGACAAGCUGCUCGUCGAGAGAGCGAGACGACUGCGGUAAAACACAGAUGUCAUUGGAAUCAGGUUGUAUAAUGUCACUAGCUUCACCUGCUGGGUGGUGGUUGACAGGGCGUAACGGGUCUCCCGGCCUUCGGUCGCCCCCUGCAGACGUCAUGAAGGACUCCCAAUAAGCACAGCUGUAGCAACCCUAUUUUAAUAAUACAUACAAGGAAAAAAAACAAUGCCAAAAUGCAAUGGGUUCAUCAGACCAUUAGGCACUUUUAAAAUGCAAGAGGUGGACCCUAAUGAAAGCGAUUCGUAUGAUUUGAGCGUUUUCUAUCCUUCUCCCCGUCCACAAACCGCUGACAGUCGUGUCGGCAGCUCUGUGAGGCUCUUGCUCCAGCCAGGCCCUGACACGGCUCGCACACGCAUCACAGUCAACCUAUCCCAAACCCCCGUCUCCCCCUGAAGACGGCUGUAUGGUUUGGAGACGUUGAAAGGCUUGGCUGGAGCAAAAGCGUCACAGAAUCCCUGCCUUGUUCAUGCCACCCCAACCCCUACCCCAACCAUACCCCACCCUACCCCACCCUACCCUACCCCCCU